rnacentral:rRNA from 1 species
CCCUUAGAUGUUCUGGGCUGCACGCGCGCUACACUGAUGCAUCCAACAAGUUUUUUCCUUGUUCGAGAGGACUAGGUAAUCUUUUGAGAAUGCAUCGUGAUGGGGAUAGAUUAUUGCAAUUAUUAAUCUUCAACGAGGAAUUCCUAGUAAGCGCGAGUCAUCAGCUCGCAUUGAUUACGUCCCUGCCCUUUGUACACACCGCCCGUCGCACCUACCGAUUGAAUGUUUCGGUGAAGAUUCCGGAUAGGACUUUUUUGAUUUAUUUCAAUUUUGUCUUAAAAGCUAUCUAAACCUCAACAUUUAGAGGAAGGUGAAGUCGUAACA